AAGUCGUAACAAGGUUUCCGUAGGUGAACCUGCGGAAGGAUCAUUAUUACGUAUCCAACGUAUAAACCAAUCGUGAACUGUCUGCCGCUCAGGCCAGUAAGAGUUAACGCUCUUGCUGAGCUAGUGAUGAAGGAGUGAAGCUUGUGUGACUCUUACGCCUUGCGCAAAGCACUUGUGUUUUGUGCGAGGGACCAGAUUCCCCGCUUGAUGUCGGUUUUUUAUUACCAUCAUCACUUUUCUUUCACCUUUUAAAUGUUCCCCGUCCCUUGCCCUUUGUAUCAUGUUAAAUGAACUGAACUAUGUUUCCUCAGUUGCGCUUCUGUUCGAUCUCCUCGUGAGUCACAGACCAACUGUUGAAAUGUGAUAUACGUAACUACGAACAACUCUUAGCAACGGAUAUCUUGGCUCUU
rnacentral:misc_RNA from 1 species